AACGAACGCUGGCGGCAGGCCUAACACAUGCAAGUCGAGCGGCAGCACGGGUACUUGUACCUGGUGGCGAGCGGCGGACGGGUGAGUAAUGCCUAGGAAUCUGCCUGGUAGUGGGGGAUAACGCUCGGAAACGGACGCUAAUACCGCAUACGUCCUACGGGAGAAAGCAGGGGACCUUCGGGCCUUGCGCUAUCAGAUGAGCCUAGGUCGGAUCAGCUAGUUGGUGAGGUAAUGGCUCACCUAGGCGACGAUCCGUAACUGGUCUGAGAGGAUGAUCAGUCACACUGGAACUGAGACACGGUCCAGACUCCUACGGGAGGCAGCAGUGGGGAAUAUUGGACAAUGGGCGAAAGCCUGAUCCAGCCAUGCCGCGUGUGUGAAGAAGGUCUUCGGAUUGUAAAGCACUUUAAGUUGGGAGGAAGGGCAGUAAGUUAAUACCUUGCUGUUUUGACGUUACC
rnacentral:rRNA from 1 species